GCGGGCAUGGUGAAAUGGUAUCACAGGAGCCUUCCAAGCUCUUAGUGCGGGUUCGAUUCCCGCUGCCCGCUCCA
rnacentral:tRNA from 1 species